GGGCGCUGGGGUGGGAAGAUUGCGUGGGCCAAGGAUCACCUUGGACAUCUGGAGUCUGGCAGGAGAGGCGAUGGCGUUGAGGGGCUGGCGGGGCCCGGACGCGCCGCAGGAGUGCGGCGUGGGGUGUGAAGGGCCUCGGCCAGGGGUGCGGAGGAGAGAAGGGGGAGCCAGGCAUUCAUCCCGGUCAAUUUUGGUUUCAGGACGUGGCGGCUGGUGGACACGGGGGAGCUGGAGAUGCAGAGGGGUCGCCGGGCCUGGGCCGAGGAGUAGCUGGCAGCCACGGCAGCUGAGGACGGCGGUCUGCCGGGCAGGUGAGUCCCUUCCCCUCGCGGCCUCGCCGCCCCGGCCUUCUGCAACCAGGAGGUUCCGGGGAGCGAGGACCGCGGGGGGAAGCGGCCGCCCGCCCGGCAGAGCGGCAGGAGGAAGGCAGACGGUAGCACAGGUGACAUCGUCUCGGGGGUUGCCGAGACCGCGCAGGCUGGGGGGCCGCGGCCCGCCCAGGUGCAGAGCGCGCUUCCAGAGGGCGGAGCGAGACGAGGGGGCUGCCGGCGAGGGAGAGGACAGAGGGCCCGCAGGAGCCCACCGCCUGCACGGACACCCCAGGCCCGGUCAGACAGGACAGGAUGAGCAGGGGGACUCAGCAGGGUCCCCAGCCGCUACCACACCCACUGUAACCCACUCAGGAGCAGGCACAGGAGCGGCUCCGGCCCGCGUCGCGGCCGCCGGAGCCUCGAGGGCAGGAGAGCGAGAACGAGGGCGCAGUGCGGAGGGGCGUCACCAGAGGGAACGGCGCAGGUGCGGGCGCCAGAGAUGUCUGCAGCAAGGAGGCUGCGGGGCCCGCGUGGGCGCCGUUCCACGUGGCACUGUGACCCGGGGGUGGCGCGGGGGGACAGUCCGUCCCCGUGCGGCCCCUGGGACGGGGGGAUAGACAGUUCAGCAUCCAGGGGAGUCAAGGAUACAGGCAGGACCAGACUAGGCGAGGCGGGCAGGGCGGCGUGUGUGCGAGGGGGGGGAUCAGGGCGCAGGCAGGGGCGAGGCGCAGCGGCCUGGCAGCGAGCGAGCGAGCGAGCGAGGCGGGUGCUGGCUCCGGAGCCGUGGCCAAGGCGGGCCGCGGGCGACGACGGAGCAGGAAUCGGCGCCUCCUCCGCGUUCGAUCGGAGACCAGCCAGGUCUCAGUGGGGGUGACAACGUGCCCGCCGGCCACGGAGGCCGGGCGCCAGGAGGUGCGCAGAGCGACAUGACACGGUCCGGUGUGACGGCGAGAAGGGAGCGGAGCGCCGGGCCUCCCAGACCAUCCCGGCCGGGGCCGUGGGGAGCGCAGCGCCCAGCUGGUCUCUGUCCUUUGCUUUCCGGAAGGAGCCCACACAACUCUGCCCUCGGGACCUCAGAACCCUCCAGAUGACAAGAAAUGGUGCUACCCAGCUCACGCCUGGGCCUCGGACCCCGGACUUCUUCAAGUCCUUCUAGCUCUGACUCGAGAAUAUGCUGCACUUAGAACCACCACACAACCCGUCUCAGGAAUCGGCUCCGAAGGAUAAGCCAAAGGACCGAGAUCGGCAACACCAGCACCACCGGAAGCGAGCAGCCCCCACGGCAGCACCUGCCCCCACGGCGACACCAUCUUGGCCGCGCCCCAGCCGGGGCUGGAGACCACCCCAGCCGCCCGCCACCAGCACCCCCCCCUCCUCCUUCUUUUCCGACUUUUCUCUCUCUGCUCCCUUCUUUCCUUCUUUCUCUGUCCCUGGCUCAGCCGCUCAGCAUCCGGGACUCCGCGUCCCCACAACCCCCUGAUUCAAUUUGCACUAUAAGUCGUUUGCACUGGUUUGGGGUCCCGGACCGCCUGAGUCUCUGAGCGUGUGCGUGAGCGUGUGCGUGAGCAUGUGUGUGAGCCACUGCCGAGUGUGCCGGCCUCCUUGGGCCGGUGCCGCCCCAGCGCCCCCGCCCUCCGUCACUGGGGGUGCUGGGUGCGGCAGAGUGCGUGGGGCCCUGCCCCCCCCUCCCUAGUCUGGACGCUCCGCCCACCAGGAGCACUGAGCACAGCACUGUGCGUCUUGCCCGUGUCCCUCCUCACCCGGCUUCACCAGAAGCCGGGCAUCAUCAAUAAAUCCGUUCCAGCA